rnacentral:lncRNA from 1 species
CGCCCCCCGCGCCGCUCCCUCGCACUCCGCUCCGCCGUGCUCUCCCCCGGCUGGCUCCCGCAGCCUCCCCCGCCCUCCGGCUCCGGAGCGCCCUACCGUUACCCGCCUCCCCGCCGCGCGCCCGCCCGCGCUCCCCCCAUGCUCAGGGCCUCUUGAGGGAAGAUGAGAGGAGCUGGUGAAAACUCCAGGUAGAAGAUAAAUUAAGGAAUCAGAAGAAACUUGAGUAUACCACAAAGAAAACAAGGAAGUAUCCCGGAGCAGAAUCUAGAGUACAAGUGCUGGUAUGAAACUACAAAUAUUUUUGUUGGACUUUAGGACAGCGUCUAUCCUGGAAGAGAAACCUGACCUAAUAUAGAGCACAGUUUGUAAAACAGUUCUCCUUGGUCAACACUGGCCAGGCAGUGUUGAAACCAUUCUUACCGGAAGAACAAUAUUUAAAUAUGAUUUUGGCUAAAACAGUAUUGCUUCUACUGCACAUGGGGCCUGUUUCUCUUCAAGCUUGAAGUAAUAGGUUGUAUAGUGUCUUGAUUCCUUAUAUGUAGCAUUACCAGACCAUUACCUUCUAGCACUAGGUUUUGAAAUGACGUUGUUAGAAAUAUUGACUCCGAUUAUUUAUUCAAUAGUUGCAUAACUUUUUCUGAAACUAUUAUCAGGCACAUUGCCUUUCAAAAAUCAGAACAUAUUGCAAUAAAUACUCUGCACAAUAUCAGUUAAAAUUUGCUAUAAUUAUGUAUUAAAUUAUAAUAAACAGAGAGCAUUUUAAAAUCAUUGCAUCUGUUCUUAAGCGAAGAUUUAAGCAACUAAGCAGAGAGUUAAACAGCAAUAUUCAUAAUCAAAUAGGAUUAUUUAGGACCUGUUGAAUUUUGAGUGUUGUUUAAAAUUAUACAAGGAAGUAGGGAGGGGGACGUAUAAUACCUUUUACCCCAUUCCCCCUCGAUGUAAAGCCAAAAGGUAGUUGAAUGAUUCAUUUAUAACUGAAGAAGAUAUUGGCAUACCGUGUUAAUCUAGAUAAUCCUACCUCAAUUUUACAUACCAG